rnacentral:rRNA from 1 species
GACGAACCGUGCGAACGUUGUUCGGAAUCACUGGGCUUAAAGGGCGCGUAGGCGGGCUCCCAAGUCUGGGGUGAAAUCUUUCGGCUUAACCGGAAAAGUGCCUCGGAUACUGGGAGCCUUGAGGGAGGCAGGGGCGGAUGGAACUUCCGGUGGAGCGGUGAAAUGCGUUGAUAUCGGAAGGAACGCCGGUGGCGAAAGCGAUCCGCUGGACCUCUUCUGACGCUGAGGCGCGAAAGCCAGGGGAGCAAACAGG